AUGGGACCAGACGGGUUCGGGUUUAAUUUAUAUCAUCUUACACAGGCUCGGGCCAGGCUCAGGCUUGCGCUCCGUUUUACGAGAUCGUUGUUUGAGGUCCUCCGUGUUAGAUGUCUGUUUCUCAUGUUCCUGCCUUGCCUUGUCUCCUGUUUCAGUUCGCUCUGGAUUGUUACCUUCGCACACGGAUUAUCAUCACCUCCCUCGGAUCUACCACCACCGUCAAUCCUACCAGCGCACUCAACUCCUACUCACCAGUCUGUGCUGCCAUCGAGGUUCCUGCAUCACUCUCCAACCUUCCAUCAUCACAUCUUUUACAAUAAACUCUGUUUACUUGCUUUUGCCUCCUGUCUCACUUACUAAGCGUCACAGAACGAUCUGACCAUUAUGGAGGCAGCGAGUAGUCAACAUUUCACCCUCGAAGAAAUUCUCAGCGCCAGUGUUCGGAGGAUGGACUCCCAGGACAGGAGUCUUAAUGACACUGGUCGCGCGGUUCAAGCCUUGGUAACGCAGGUGUCUGAGCUCACUCAACAGUUCCAGCUACUACGAGCUCCCACUGCGCCACCCACACCGCCUGUUCUCCCAGUACCAUCGGAGACCCCCUCCCAGCCGGAACCAUGUAUCCCGAUCCCGGAGACGUACUCGGGUGAGCCCAACUUCUGUAGAGCAUUUCUAACCCGCUGUGACCUACAGCCCAGAACCUUUGCUAAAGAAAGGGCCAAGGUGGCCUUCGUGUUGACGCUA
rnacentral:lncRNA from 1 species